CUGCAGCCCGAGUGGUGAUCGAUUUUAUUGAGCCUAAAGCGUCCGUAGCCGGACUAGUAAACCCUUGGGUAAAUUGGGCAGCUUAACUGUCCAAAUUCCGAGGGGACUGCUAGUCUUGGGACCGGGAGAGGUCAGAGGUACUCAAGGGGUAGGGGCUAAAUCCUGUAAUCCUUUGGGGACCACCAGUGGCGAAGGCGUCUGACUAGAACGGAUCCGACGGUAAGGGACGAAAGCUAGGGGCGCGAACCGGAUUAGAUACCCGAGUAGUCC
rnacentral:rRNA from 1 species